CUCUAAUAAGGAGUCUGGUUGUGUGUGUUCGCUCCAGGGCCGUGGCUACCCAUGUGUAUCAAUAGGCCUCACAUCACUGGCUCUCUGUGUUAUUGAAUUUCAUGUGGCAGCCUGCACAGACGGAGAGAUGAACCUCUACAAAUCUCUGAUCAGCUGCAGCAAAGUCAUCAGGCUAAACCAAACCACAGAGAUAAGUUAGCAUCUGAAACAAGGUCAUCCCUUGGUGAAAAGACAAAAGUGAACAGUGGCAUUUCAAAUCCGCUUCUACGAAAAGGGAUUAAACGCUUAUCUGUGGUGACUCAUAACUUUAAACCAGUCAAAGACAAGGACCUGAGCCCUAGGACCAUGCCUCAGGACUACCUGGCAUGAUGACUCCUUGCUGUUCCCAGUCCACCUGGCCGUUGUGCUGCUCCAGUUUCAACUGUUCUGCCUGCGGCUAUGGAACCCUGACCUGUUCACCGGACGUGCUUGUUGCACCCUCGACAACUACUAUGAUUAUUAUUAUUUGACCAUGCUGGUCAUUUAUGAACAUUUUAACAUCUUGAC
rnacentral:lncRNA from 1 species